rnacentral:lncRNA from 1 species
UAAAAAAACCUGAAAAAGAAUCACUAGAAAACCUUAGAGGAUAGAGAUCAUGUAGCUCCGUUACAACACAGCUAGCCAUCUGGUUUUCUUAUCCGCCACUAAUUAAUCAAUGUGAAGCAGCCAGAUAAGUAAUAAUUACCAUUAUAACAAACCACAGAAAGAUAUCCAGAGAUUGCCAAGAGGUCCAUCCUAGUGUUAGAAGCAACCAGGUCAAACCCCAUCAGAAGAUGCCUAGUCAGACUGGGAGGGACAUUCCAGGCAAAGGCACAGCUUGUAUUCCAGAAGCUCAAAAAUGGGCAGGAGCACAGUGACCUGGAACAGAGAGAUAAAGGGACGCUCAUGAGAGAUUUACACUGUAGGAUGAUAGAUCAGCAUUUUAUGUUGUAAGUGAGAGGCAAGUACAGGGAAAUAUCAUCAUGUGAAAAAGCUGGGAGGAAAAACAGACUCAUUCAUUUGUUCAUUCAUUCAUACAUUCAUUCAACAAAUUCUUAUGGAGCCCAAUCUUUGUGCACAACUGUUCUAGGUACAAGAACUAACAAUGAACAGAACAAAGGGGUGUGUGAUCCAGUCCUUGCUCUGUUCACUGAGCUCUGCCCAGCGGCUGGUUGCUUUCACACGAGGAAAACCUUUUUUUCUGCUCUCUUGGCACAAAUUGCUGGAGCUGAAUGUACCAGGGUGGGUGAAGGGGAGGAUGAGGUCAGAGAGGUAACAGGGCCAGGCAAGCCAUUGUCAGGAUUUUGGAUUUUACUGUGUACGGAAUGUGUUUGCCAGAACAAUGCGGGAGUUGCAGAGAGAGGUGUCCUGUGUUUGUUCCCAGUCUUCCUUCACUCACCUGCACCUGCUCCUGCCCUGCUUCGGCCAACAUGUUCUAUGCAGGGUGGUUUUGCUGAUGAGACAGCUGCAGUUUGGGGAGUGUGAUAUCAAGGAAAGCAGUGUCUUGAGUCUGUCACUUUCUCUCUCUGUCCCAUUGGGCAUUAUAGUAUACAUAGCCUUGGAAUCAGAAGACCAAGAACAUACAAGAGAACAUAGCCUUGGAAUCAGAAGACCAAGAAACAAUUUAACUCUGCCCCUCUAGAGCUCUGAGAACUUGGGCAAGCCUUUUACCCUCUUGAAUUUUUGCCACCUUCAAUGAGAAAGACUGAAACAAAAAACUCAGAAGAAAGAAAGAGACUGAGAUAGCAAAUAUGACAAACUGUUAAAAAUUCAUGAAUCUGUUAUGGAAUACUAUGCAGCCAUAAAAAAGGAUGAGUUCCUGUCCUUUGCAAGGACGUGUAUGAAGCUGGAAACCAUCAUUCUGAGCAAACUAAAACAGGAACAGAAAACCAAACACCACAUGUUCUCACUCAUAAGUGGGAGUUGAACAAUGAGAACACAUGGACACGGCGGGGUGGUGGGAACAUCACACACCGGGGCCUGUCAGAGGGGAGGGGGCUAGGGGAGAGAUAGCAUUAGGAGAAAUACCUAAUGUAGAUGAUGGGUUGAUGGGUGCAGCAAACCACCAUGGCAUGUGUAUACCUAUGUAACAAACCUGCAUGUUCUGCACAUGUAUCCCAGAACUUAAAGUAUAAUAAUAAAAAGAGAGAUUAAAAAAAUUGGUGAAUCUGGGCAAAAUGUACACAGGAUUUUUCUGUACUGUUCUUGCAACUUUUCUACAGAUUUGAAAUGUUACAAAAUAAAAGGUAUUUUUAGAAAAAGAGUAUACAGUUGGAAGUGA